GACAGAGGGUGCAAACGUUGCUCGGAAUCACUGGGCGUAAAGGGCGUGUCGGCGGGAAUGUAAGUCGGGCGUGAAAUCCCUAGGCUCAACCUAGGAACUGCACUCGAAACUGCGUUUCUUGAGUAUCGGAGAGGAAAGCGGAAUACCUGGUGUAGAGGUGAAAUUCGUAGAUAUCAGGUGGUACACCAGUGGCGAAGGCGGCUUUCUGGACGAUAACUGACGCUGAGACGCGAAAGCGUGGGGAGCAAACAGG
rnacentral:rRNA from 1 species